rnacentral:rRNA from 1 species
GGUCAAGCUACAAACAGCUAACGGCGGAUCCCUUGGUACGCAGAGGCGAAGAAGGACGUAGUUACCGACGAUACGCUCCGGGGAGCUGGAAGCAAGCAAUGAACCGGAGGUUUCCGAAUAGGGCAACCUAACUGAACGGCUCGCUGAAUCCAUAGGCGAGUGCGAGCGAACCCGGCGAACUGAAACAUCUUAGUAGCCGGAGGAAGAGAAAGCAAAAGCGAUUCCCCCAGUAGCGGCGAGCGAAAAGGGACAAGCCUAAACCACUGACUUUAGUGAGUGGGGUAGUGGGACAACAAAACGGAACGAGAGAAGUUAGACGAAGUAGUUGAAAGCUACACCAAAGAAGGUGAAAGUCCUGUAGUCAAAAACCAAACUCAUCCAGUUGAAUCCCGAGUAGCACGGGGCACGUGAAAUCCCGUGUGAAUCAGCCAGGACCACCUGGUAAGGCUAAAUACUCCUGCGUGACCGAUAGCGAACAAGUACCGCGAGGGAAAAGUGAAAAGAACCCCAGUGAGGGGAGUGAAAUAGAACGUGAAACCGUUAGCUGACAAGCAGUGGGAGGACGAUUAAACGUCUGACCGCGUGCCUGUUGAAGAAUGAGCCGGCGACUAACAGGCUGUGGCAGGUUAAGGCAGAAAAAGCCGAAGCCCAAGCGAAAGCGAGUCUGAAAAGGGCGAAAUAAGUGUCACAGUUUGUUGACCCGAACCCGGGUGAUCUAACCAUGUCCAGGAGGAAGCUUGGGUAAAACCAAGUGGAGGUCCGAACCGACCAACGUUGAAAAGUUGGCGGAUGAGGUGUGGUUAGGGGUGAAAUGCCAAUCGAACCCGGAGCUAGCUGGUUCUCCCCGAAAUGCGUUUAGGCGCAGCGGUUGCAAGCAAGACUGGGGGGUAAAGCACUGCUUCGCUGCGGGCUGCGAGAGCGGUACCAAAGUGAGGCAAACUCAGAAUACCCAGUACGAAGAGCAGCCAGUGAGACGGUGGGGGAUAAGCUUCAUCGUCGAAAGGGAAACAGCCCAGACCGCCAGCUAAGGUCCCCAAAUAAUAGCUAAGUGAUUAAGGAGGUGGGAGUGCCCAGACAACCAGGAGGUUUGCCUAGAAGCAGCCAUCCUUGAAAGAGUGCGUAAUAGCUCACUGGUCAAGCGCUCCUGCGCCGAAAAUGAAAGGGACUAAGUUAUUUACCGAAGCUGCGGAUUGAAAUUUAUCAAUGGUAGGGGAGCGUUCUGAGGUGGGAGAAGCACUAGCGGCAAGCAGGUGUGGACGCCUCAGAAGUGAGAAUGUCGGCUUGAGUAGCGAAAAUUGGGGUGAGAAUCCCCAACCCCGAAACCCUAAGGGUUCCUCCGGAAGGCUCGUCCGCGGAGGGUCAGUCAGGUCCUAAGGCGAGGCUGAAGAGCGUAGUCGAUGGAUAACGGGUUAACAUUCCCGUACCGUUAAAGGUUGGUGAAGGGGGACGGAGAAGGUCUAGACUAGCCGGGUAAUGGUUGUCCCGGUGCAAGCGUUCGAGGUGAUGAAGUCUGGAGAAAACAGACAGAGCUAAGGCGCGAGUCCGACAAGCUAAGGCUUGGAAGUAGUACGGAUCCAACUUCCCAGAAAAGCCCUAACCACCAUAAACCUUUAAUGCCUGUACCCGAAACCGACACAGGUAGGGUGGUAGAGAAUACCGAGGGGCGCGAGAUAACUCUCUCUAAGGAACUCGGCAAAAUGACCCCGUAACUUUGGAAGAAGGGGUACCACUGUAAAAGGUGGUUGCAAUAAAGAGGCCCAGGCGACUGUUUACCAAAAACAUAGGUCUCCGCAAAGUCGUAAGACGAAGUAUGGGGGCUGACGCCUGCCCAGUGCCGGAAGGUUAAGGAAGUUGGUCAGCCGAAAGGUAAAGCUAGCGACCGAAGCCCCGGUGAACGGCGGCCGUAACUAUAACGGUCCUAAGGUAGCGAAAUUCCUUGUCGGGUAAGUUCCGACCCGCACGAAAGGCGUAACGAUCUGGGCGCUGUCUCGGAGAGAGGCUCGGCGAAAUAGGAUUGUCUGUGAAGAUACGGACUCCCUGCACCUGGACAGAAAGACCCUAUGAAGCUUUACUGUAGCCUGGAAUUGGGUUCGGGCUUCGCUUGCGCAGGAUAGGUGGGAGGCUGUGAAGUACCCCUUGUGGGGGGUAUAGAGCCAACAGUGAGAUACCACUCUAGCGAGGCUAGAAUUCUAACCCUGACCCGUUAACCGGGGAGGGAACAGUUUCAGGUGGGCAGUUUGACUGGGGCGGUCGCCUCCUAAAAAGUAACGGAGGCGCACAAAGGUUCCCUCAGGCUGGUUGGAAAUCAGCCAAAGAGUGUAAAGGCACAAGGGAGCUUGACUGCGAGACCUACAAGUCAAGCAGGGACGAAAGUCGGUCUUAGUGAUCCGACGGCACUGAGUGGAAGGGCCGUCGCUCAACGGAUAAAAGUUACUCUAGGGAUAACAGGCUGAA